CGGAGCCCAGGCCCCGGACGCGCAGGCCCAGCGGCCAUGGCUCACGGGCCCAGCAGCUCCGGGGCAUGUGGGAUCCUCCCAGACCAGGGCGCGAACCCGGUUCCCCUGCAUCGGCAGGCGGACGCGCAACCACUGCGCCACCAGGGAAGCCCGAGGUGAAACAUUCUUAACCUCAUCCAUAAGUCCUGACAGUUUCUUUGAAUUUUUGUUCCUGCUUCAAAGUGGGCUGGCUGGGGGAGGAAAUAACGGUCUCAAAAUGAGAAACUUGAGAGGGAAAUGCACAGGAUCACCAACCUCUCCGCUGCGUGGCCUAGCACAAAAGCAAAUUUUGGCGAGGGUGGAAUUGGAGCAGAGUACAAGGGGGGAAGUAAAGCAAGUGAGACUAGAGACUUGAGGUGCCUGAUCUGGAAUGCCUACUACAUACAUGUGUCAGGUGUAUAUACACAACAUGUUACACGGUUUGCACUUAAGGAAAAUGGAAAGUAAUGGGGGGCUUAAGCAGGAGAGUGGGAAAAUCAGACUCAAAUGUUACAAAGAUCACACUGGCUGCUGUGUGACAAAUGAACUAGAGGAAAACCCAAUUAGAGGCAGGAGCACGUGUUAGGAAGCCAGUGUAGUAGAACAGAUGACAGUGGUGAUCUAGACCAGGGUCUAAGCUAACUUAAGACUAUUUGGCAUUUCUCCAAUUGCAGAAUUCCAAGGAUGCUGGAAGCCUAUGGAUGAGAAUAUAACAGUUGUAAAGAUACAAAAUGUGUACUAGUACUUCCAGGAGAGUUCCAUUUAAACAGCCCCCCUCCCUGACCCUGCUUCCUCUGGGAGUAGCUAGCUGUCGUCCUGCAUAAAAGAAAGAUCUGCCACCCAAGCACCUCUGCCUAUGAGAUGUGGAUAAAGCAGAGACUAUAAGUGUCUCAUCUGAGCAGCUGACAUCCCGGAUAGCGACCACUCUCAGGCUUCAUCUAAUAUGUUUUCUCCACCUACUCCUCUUCCCCAUUUUACAAUUAGGACUACUAAGGAGAAGCCCCUUGCUCUGCUGAAUACUAAUGCCAGAACAGUUUCUAAGCCAAAGCGGAAGCAUCCUACAACAGGGGCUGGAGAGAGAGAGAGGACAGAAGGGGACACGGGUUCGAGCCCUGGCCUGGGAAGGUCCCACAUGCCGCGGAGCAACUGGGCCCGUGAGGCACAACUACUGAGCCUGCGCGUCUGGAGCUCGUGCUCCGCAACAAGAGAGGCUGCGACAGUGAGAGGCCCGCGCACCACGAUGAAGAGUGGCCCCCGCUUGCUGCAACUAGAGAAAGCCCUCGCACAGAAACGAAGACCCAACACAGCCUUAAAUAAAUAAAUAAAUAUAUAAAUAAUACAAUUUGCUAAAAAAAAAAGGAAUUAAAAAAAAGAAUGCAUUAA